CCCCCAAGACACCCUGCUGUUCUCCCAUUGGAUGAACACGGCCAGGAGGCGUGGCGAGGCCCCCAAGACACCCUGCCGCUCCCCCCAUUGGACAACCAGGACACACACGCACACGCACGCAGGGGGGUGGGAGUAGCAGGGGGGGCUAUUCGGGCGUUGCUGGCUGGUCCCGGUGGAAUAGUCGUCCCUGGUCCCUGCUUGCUCACUCAGUCCUUUUGUGUGUGUCUCCCUCUCCCCUCUCCCCUCUCCCCUCUCCCCCCCUCUUCUCCCUCUCCCCUUCCUCUUCUCCUCCCCCUCCCCCCUCUCAUUAUCUUUACUUAUUGGAUAGAGACAGCCAGAAAUCAAGAGGGAAGGGGGAAAUAAAGAGGGAGAGAGACAGAGACUCCUACAGCCCUGUUUCAUCACUCCUGAAGCUUUCCUCCUGCAGAUUACAACAGCACCAUCACCUGCCACAGCACCAGCAACAGCAGCAGGUGUUGGUAGCCUGUCUCCUCUCAAUGGUACAUGGAGGUAUCCAGAAGAUGAGCAAACCUCAGGCAUCAGGUAAACAGCCUAGGAGAGAGCUCACCCAGUAGAAUGCACACUUUGCCAUGCAUGAGGACUUGGAUUUAAGACCCCAACCAGCACAUGGUGCACCAAAUUAAGGGAAGCUUCAUGAUCAGUGAAGCAGGGCUGUAAUGCCUCUCCCCCCUGCCUGCCUCUCUCUACCAGAAGCAGUGGAAUCAUGCCACAUGGAGCUUGGUGAUAACCUUGGUGAGCUUUAGUUGAAUCUCCCAGGAGACUUAGCCAUAGAUGGGUGUGUGGCCUGGGAAAGACACUUACCAUUCAGAUAAGAUGAAUUUCCCAUCUCUGAGGCUUGGCAGCUUCC